UAUUUUUUUUUAACCUAAGGUCCCUCAGUAUGAGCUCUCAUGACAAUGACGAUGAAGAUGAAGAAGAAGGCAGCGAGUCAUGGUUACCAAUGUUGAUAGGACUAGGCUAAAAGACUCAUGAACGCCGGAGAAGAACACACUGGUGUGGACUCUGUUGUACUAAUUAACGGCUCACCCAGUUCCCAUGAAGUUGUUGCAGACCAGAAGUCAUCAUCAGAGGCGAUUUGAAUCCCAACUUCAUUUGUCAAAUUUAAUUUUAGUUUUGCACUUGUAUUUGUUUCUCAACUUCGUUAGUUGCUUUAUGGAAUGGGUUUUAAAAAAAUUGUGAUA